rnacentral:rRNA from 1 species
GACGAACGCUGGCGGCGUGCCUAAUACAUGCAAGUAGAACGCUGAAGGAGGAGCUUGCUUCUCUGGAUGAGUUGCGAACGGGUGAGUAACGCGUAGGUAACCUGCCUGGUAGCGGGGGAUAACUAUUGGAAACGAUAGCUAAUACCGCAUAAUAGCAGUUAUUGCAUGAUAACUGUUUAAAAGGUGCAAUUGCAUCACUACCAGAUGGACCUGCGUUGUAUUAGCUAGUUGGUGGGGUAACGGCUCACCAAGGCGACGAUACAUAGCCGACCUGAGAGGGUGAUCGGCCACACUGGGACUGAGACACGGCCCAGACUCCUACGGGAGGCAGCAGUAGGGAAUCUUCGGCAAUGGACGGAAGUCUGACCGAGCAACGCCGCGUGAGUGAAGAAGGUUUUCGGAUCGUAAAGCUCUGUUGUAAGAGAAGAACGAGUGUGAGAGUGGAAAGUUCACACUGUG